CGGUUGGCGGGCGCGGCGUGCGGGCCUGUGGCGGGCGGGCCUGUGGCGCGUGUCAGGUGGCUCUGCAACGGCCCCGGGCGUCCGUUGUGAGCGUCCGCCGGGGAAGAUCAGACCCCGCCAACGGCCGCUUUUUCGAAGCGGUUUCCAUAAGGGAUUUCGUAAAAAGCGGAGGCUCAGGCUGCUUCUGGCUCUGGAAGCACAUCUCAGCUUCAUGUUUCUCUGGCUGGGUGCCCCGACCUCCCGUAUUUUCUCUAUUGCACAUGGAACUACAAGCCCACGAGAGGGAGCCACGUGAUCAAGGUGGCCACCAGCUGAGCCCACAGUCCCUGCCUCCUCCCUUGGACCCAUGCAAGCAUUUCUGGGCCUAUCUCCUUAUGAUGCUGGGAUGGAGGCAGAGCCCGCCCUGCUGGCUGCUGUGGGCACCAGUCCUUCGCUUGCACCAGAACUGAAGUUCUGCUAAACUGCAGUGACCCUGCCCUGCGUAUAGAUAAAAGACUGAGGGUUUAAACCUCAGGCGUAGGGAGCCGACCUGUUCAUCUUAGAGUCCUUUGGAGCCUAUCAUGGUGUCUGUACCCAGGGGCAAUGAAGAAUGAAGGAACAGAUACAGGGAGAAAAUGCCUUUGACUUUUCCCACAGUUCAAGAACAAUAACCUGCUAUUGGACAAAAGUUGCCUCUGAGAGUCUGCACCUAGUUCAGGGACACUGGGUUCAGGCAGAAAUGACCCCAAUUCCUUACCUCACUGCCCCUGUGCCCUGCACCAUGGGACCCACCACAGCCUCCACCUCACUCUGACUCUGGGCUCGGUCGUGGGACCUGCCUUGGGCUCUUCCUCUUGCUCUUCUGCCAUCCAUGGAGGACAUGGUCAGGCCAGCCUUCUGGAGGAUGUGGCCCGGGAGAGCUGAGCAUCCCAGACAUGUGAGUGAGCCCAGACUGGAGCAGAAGGACCAUCCAGCAGAGCCAAGCCCAAAUCACUGACACGUAGACACCUCACAUGAGUAAAUGCUUGUGGUUUUAAUCUGUUGAGUUUUCCAUUCAUCUGUUUAUCUAUAGUAUUGCCACAGUAGUUAACUGAUAGGCCUCAAAAUGAAUGUGUACCCCAUGCUAGAUUGUAUAUAUCCUUGGAGGAGAAAAACACAAUAGUAGAAACAGUUUUAUACACAGAAAUGUAUUCCCUCCUUUGCAGUUUUAUAUCCUCUUACAAUAAUUCUCAAAUCUAUAUAAUUUGUAUUUAUACCCUCCAAAUGCUUCUAUCUGAAGAGUUCAGAAGAUUAAUAGCCCUUAAUUGAAUUGCUGACAGGAAAUCUCCAAAAUUCAGUAUGUAUGUGGUGUGUGUGUGGUGUAUAUGUAUCUGUGUCUGUAGAAUAAGGUACGUAUGCAUGGUAUGGUGUGUAUGUGUAGUGUUAGGGCAUUGUGUACAUGUGUGUUUUUCACAUGUAGAAGGGGGUGCGGAAAAGGUACAUGAAACGUACAUGUGUGUACAUGUGUAAGGGGUAUGGUAUGAUUUGAGUAAUAUUAACCUUGUGUAAGAACUGUGUAUGCAUGAUUUUUUGGUAAAUGUAGGGUGAGUAUGCAGCCUUUGUGAGUAUACAGCUGAUGUGGCAUUGUGUAUAUGUUCAUGUGCAUUGGGUGGUGGGGCUGGUUCUGUGUGUUUUGAGGGUGUUGUGAAUAUGUAUGUGUAGUCACCCAGAAUGGAGACUCAGGGUGAGGUUGUGUGUGUGUGGGGUGAUUGAUGGGAGUUUGCCUGGUGGGCACAAUGUGCCUCCAGUCUCUCCGGUGAUGAAGGCACUGAAGGCCUUGCUUCACAAUCAUGCAAUAUAUCAAUGUAGCAAAAUUGUACUUGAACCCCAUGAAUAUAUACAAAUGAAAAAAAUUUUAAAGAAUAUGUAUGCAAUGCAUUUGAGAAGAGGUAGUGUUAUACAUUUUAGUGCUUUGCAUGUUGCAUCUGUAUAUAUUCAGAGUAGAGGGAGUUAUAUCUAUGAGUAUAGUGUCUAGGUAAGAAUUUAAGGGAUACAUUUUUUAGGAGAUAUAUUUUUGGUAUGGUGGAGUUUAGGGAGAAUAGGGUU